rnacentral:lncRNA from 1 species
AGGUGCAGAAUCUGGGUUGCUAUUCUGUGAGUAACUUGGAGUUGAAGCUGAACCUCCCGUCGGUGGCGGCCGAGGACAGAGUUUUUAUGACAGUCACUGAUGUCUCUUCACAUAAUGUAAGUACAGUUCAGCCCCACGGUCUGUGUUGUAUCUAAAACAUUAACCACAGUGUCCCAUAGGCCACUGGGGUAAACUGCAGUGUCCUCAACAACCUGGCUCAGCUGAAAGCAAGACAGGGAGACGUACGGCCGCUUCAUCAGGAGGACAUGAUUCAAAAUGACAUACUGAACUGCAGCAGGUCGUGGUGCACUGAGGUCACCUGUGAGGUCCGGCAGCUCUUGAGAGGAGAGGCUGCAGUCAUCCGAGUCAGCCGCAGAGUUCACGAUGACUUUUUCAGAAACGCAAAGUACAAAUCAGCGAGAAUAAUAGGCGCAUUCAACGUCGCAGCUCAGGAAACUAACCUCAUCACUUUGGGCACGGGACAGUCUGGAGAGAGGUGAAGCCAACGUCAUUUUCAUGUAUUUCUUUUCUAUUAUUGUUUAUGGACAUAGGAGCCUAUGUUGGUUUAUUUUUGUCUUUGUAGACUGUUCUGGAAGUGCUGAAAGGGAGGGCCAUUCCCAUCUCUCUGUGGAUACUGAUUGGCAGCAUCAUUGGAGGUUUACUACUACUGGCCCUCAUUACAUUUAUACUAUGG